ensembl:lncRNA
CUCCCUGAUGUGCGUAUGGCUAAGUCAUGGCUGGCUCUUCCAGGACUCCAAGUGGAUACAAAAGGCUACAGCUGACCAAAAGCUCUGCUUUUGUAUUUGUCUAGUGCCAUCAUAUACAUGUGGGCUUAUUCUUUGCAUUUCUCAUUCUACUGAUUCCUGUUUCAGCUGCUGCUGGGGGUUAUUGUUUGUAUUGUUGAUGUUUAUACAAGUUGUUUGAGGGAGGGCAAAGUCCAAGAUCGAUAGUAACUACUGUAAACAGUCCCUUCUGGGCAGGUGCUGUCUGGAAUUGAAGGACUUGUGUGGCUUUGCCCUAGAAGGAUGUGUGGAUUCAACCAUAGUCUUUGUGCUUCAGUUCUCCUAGGCUUGACCUUUAGAAAUGUUUAAUGCAGAUAUUGGCUGCUGAAUCAUAGAGCACCUCUUGUUUUGGGUACUUAUAUUCAUUGCUGUUAUUAUUAGUGAAUAAUUUUGGAAAUAAUGUUUGGAAAUAAAAUCAAAUAUCUCAUUGCAACGGUGAAGCAUGAUUAUUGCUUCCAGAGGUUCAUGCAGACUCUAUGGCAGUUUCAAAGGAAAGGCCCUGGGGAGUCUCCAGCAGCGCAAGUUCCAUUUUGAUGUUAAGGGCCAAUUGGCAGAGGAGAACAGUGUCAUCUGGCAGAAGUCUUUCUGUGCCCCUCUGGAACUGCAGUUAUGCUCCCAAGAAGUGCCAGUAGGCCUCGCCGGUCAAAACAUGAUGGAUUUGGAAAAGUCUGCCAACGUCACCUUUGAACCAAAAGUGUUUGAAGUGCCUCCGGAGCCAAGCCUAAGAUAUUCUGAAUAUAGAGUAUUCUACGAUGCGUACAGCAUUUGCUUGAGGAUUAUCUGCUAAAGAACCAAGCACAGAACAGCAUGAACCACAGGGGAUUGUUGCCAUCAGGCCAGCUGUGAGGGUUCAAGAAAUUACCCUCCACCUCAUUUAAGGUCAGGGCCAACCUGCUGCCCUCAGGACGUACAUAUCUUGUGGAGAAAAUGAGAUGAAGGUAAUUGAUCCAUAAUUCUCAUGGAUCUUCAUGGACUUGGUGAUGUUGGUGGGUCCCUUUCAGCUGAAACUCUUCUGCCCUUGAAGCCAUGGGAGAACCAUGGGUAGUGUGACCAAAAGUUACGUGAAAAUCUGGCUAGAGAUUCAGAUGCUCUUUUGAAUAUGCAGGCAUUUCCUACACCAGGACUGUCUUUUUGUUAUCCUGCCUCUCAUUGUUCCGCGAACACAUCAUAAAUACAAGGAAUCCAAUGAG